GCUGAGCUGCUUACCGAAGCGUCUGAGCUGGUCAGAGUGCCUCGCCGUGUGAGACGACUGACGUGUUAUUGACAGAUGGCCGGACCCCUGCCUCCCUCCGCGGGAGACUUCUAAACCAAACAACUACUGGAUACACCAAGUCGCUGAAGUCCCCCCAGUGCAUAUGAUCUGUCUAUGAGGCUCACUGCGCUUGAUCAAGUGGGCCCAGCCCGUCUCUGUGGGGAUUACCCAUCAAAGUGGAAAGCAAAGGCGUGUUGCAGGAAAAGUCAGCGACCAGAUGGCAGACCGACGGCGCCCCAACUCUGAAGCGGCACCACUUACCACAUCCUUCGCUCGUCUUGUCUUUCGGAUGGCAGGCAGGAUGUCUCGGCUGCAGGGACAAAAAGGGGGAAAACAACAUUUCU